UACAGAGGUCCCGAGCGUUGUUCGGAAUUACUGGGCGUAAAGGGCGCGUAGGCGGCCUUCUAAGUCGGACGUGAAAUCCCUCGGCUCAACCGAGGAACUGCGUCCGAUACUGAAAGGCUUGAAUCCGGGAGAGGGAUGUGGAAUUCCAGGUGUAGCGGUGAAAUGCGUAGAUAUCAGGAGGAACACCAGUGGCGAAGGCGGCGACCUGGGCCAAUAUUGACGCUGAGGUGCGAAAGCGUGGGGAGCAAACAGG
rnacentral:rRNA from 1 species